UACGAAGGGGGCUAGCGUUGCUCGGAAUUACUGGGCGUAAAGGGAGCGUAGGCGGACAUUUAAGUCAGGGGUGAAAUCCCGGGGCUCAACCUCGGAAUUGCCUUUGAUACUGGGUGUCUUGAGUAUGAGAGAGGUGUGUGGAACUCCGAGUGUAGAGGUGAAAUUCGUAGAUAUUCGGAAGAACACCAGUGGCGAAGGCGACACACUGGCUCAUUACUGACGCUGAGGCGCGAAAGCGUGGGGAGCAAACAGG
rnacentral:rRNA from 1 species